rnacentral:lncRNA from 1 species
UAUCUAGCUAACUAGCACUCUGUUACUCUGUGUCUAGCUCAAGGAUUGUAAACGCACCAAUCAGCACUCUGUCAAAACGGACCAAUCAGCUCUCUGUAAAAUAGACCAAUCAGCUCUCUGUAAAAUGGACCAAUCCGCAGGAUGUGGGUGGGGGCCAGAUAAGGGAAUAAAAGCUGGCAGCCCGAGCUAGUCAGCGGCAAUCAGUUACAAUCUCGGUCUGUACGGUGGUAGGUGUUGUUCUUUAGCUUUUUGCUGCUGCUCACUGUUUUGGGUCCAUGCUGCAUUUAUGAGCUGUCACACUUCCCACGAAGGUCUGCAGCCUCACUGCUGAAGCAAGUAAGCCCACGAAGCCACUGGGAAAAAUGAACAAGUCCAGAUGUGCUGCCUUUAAGAGCUGUAAUACCAGGAAGGUCUGCAGGUUCACUCCUGACAGUGAGACCACGAACCCACCAGAAGGAAGAAGUUCCAAACACAGCUGAACGUCUGAAGGAACAAAGUCCGGACACACCAUCUUUAAGAACUGUAACACCGUGAGGGUUGGUGGCUUCAUUCUUGAAGUCAGUGAGACCAACAACCCAGCAAUUCCGGACGCACUAUGGCUCUGCAACUGAGAAUGCUUAUGCAAAUAAGGAAAUAUACUAUUUUCUCCCCUUCUGUGUAUUCUUGGAAGAGGGGAUAAAUAUCAACAGUGAUGGAAUCUACUCUAAUUGCUUGCCAAGACUAAAAAUCCAUAAACAACUCUGUUUGUCAAAGGAAUGCUGCAUAAAAAUUUUCGUAACAAUAUCCAGGAAAAUAGUCCAGGACUGGCACAACUGUUCUAGGAAGUUACCAAGGCUCUGCAAAGGCAUCUGAGGGGGAGAGCUGAUUUUAAUUGGAACUCUAAUACAAUUCCAUUACAGUCAAGGUCUGUAAAGGUGACACAUGGAAAUAGAGGACUUUGCACGUGAGGGCGAUCUGGCUGCAACAGUCUUUCAUGUCAUUGAUUGUCAGGGUUGAUUUGGCUGCUCUGGCUACCUAGGUGAGUCUCCCCUUCCUGCCUCAUUGCUCCAUGUGCAUCCUUUCUGAAGCUGCAUGCUUGGUCAAAAGGGAGGACCAUUUCCAAUAGAGGACUGGUCUUUGGUCAAGGGUAUACAAGUAACUGCACUCCCCUGCUAGAACCUCCAAAGAAGCUCUCAAGGAAAUAUAGGACCCACAAAAUAAGCCUCUCCCCAUUUUUUGUCAAUUGACAGCAGCAAAUUUUCUAUCUUAGCCUUCUCCUUAAUCCUUUGUUUAGAAAACCGUUUCUCUGCUGCUGCUUUUCUGUCUUCUUUUUCCCUAAGAUUAAGAUCAAAGGCACAGUUCAGGUCACUUAUCCUCACUCAACCGAGCUACUAUUUUGAUUAGAGUCUGAAUAUUCAUUAGAUUCUACCAAUAUGUGAUGGCUCAUUAAUUGUAUUACCCUGAGGACUCAUGUCACCUUGUGUACUUCACGUUAAUCCAGACUUUUUAAUUUUGUUCAACUCAUCUCUUCAGAUAGACAAUCUUCCAACUAUCUCUUCAUCUCUGACAUAAAGUGCUGCUAACAUUCAGCAUUAGAUUGAAGGAGAAGAGCAGAGAGCCUGUCUCAUACAUGAAGAAAUUCCCUGAAGUGUUUUGCACAAUUUGUAUGCAUUGAAUACUCUGUGAGUGUUCAUUAAAGGAAUGAAUGAGGGAAUGAGGAAAAGUCAGUAUCCAGCUUUGCAUCUACUCAGCCACUCACUAGCUGUGUGGCUUGGGAGAGCCAUUUGAUCUCUCCAACCUCCAUUUCCUUACCUGGAAAUAAGCGAGGGGUCAGAUGAUUCCUCAUUUGCUUUCAAUACUUAGGUUAGAUAUUCUCAUCCACUUACUUUUGACCUACACCCAAUGCGGCAGGGACUUAAUGUAGGGCUUGCAAAUCUUUCCUAAACCAGCAGCAAAAUCCCUAAAGGGUGCUUAAUGUGCAUUUUUUUUUCUAACUACUUCAUACAAUAUCUUUAAACUAGGGCAAAGAAGAUUUAAUGAGAAAAAGUCAAAAGACUUUCAAGUUCCAGUAAGAGGAGAACUUGUCUUUUCUGAGAGGUGCUACCAAAGCUUAAUAUUUUGGAGAGAAACAAAAAGCUCUGGAAGACAAUUGUAUUUUCAUUCCCUCCCUGCAGAAAAUAUCCUUACGUAUCAUAUUGUAGUACUUUCCUGUUUCGUCUAAUAUUGAUAAACUACUCAAGUGCAUUGACCAGGGCAUUUUCAAUUACUUUUGUAUCCCAAGUGCCAAGAUUAGAGUGUCUCGUAAUAGGUGCUCAAUAAUGUUGAGCUACACUGUUAAAAUGGAGGUUCCGAAAGACUUGAAAUAACUUGCCAGGAUAACUUGGCUAGUGGUGGUGUAAGACUAUUUUCUGAUUCUAGACACACAGCUCUUUCUAAUAUGGUGUUUGAUUACACUGAGCCAUUACCAACCUUUAAUAUCUGAGCAAAGACUAAUUAUCCAAUAGUGACACCAAUUAUGAGGACCACAUACUGAGUCAUUCUGAUAGAUUUGAGAUGCAUAAGAUACAAGCUGCAGCCAGGGUGGCUCUGAGUAGCCAGGCGUGGGUAUGGAGAUUCUCUGUCUCAAAAAUUUUGUUUAAACAAAGCAAGGAAGGAAGAGAUGAGUAAAAUCUCCAACGGCUUCUUAAAAACAAGUUUGCUGGAGUGGAGACUGAAUGACCCAAAAGACAAUUUGAAUUUCAACCCUGGGUGGAUGCUAGACUAGGUAAACUGAUGUGGAGAGAUUUUCUGUUACAUUUGUCUUAUACACCCUUGAAAACAACGAUUUUUUUUUAAAUCAAAGAAGUGAGGAAUAUUACCUAAGUCAUUUUGGAAAUGCUCUGAAGCAAUUUCAUCUGAAGCAAUAAUUACUUCCAGUAUGUAACUCACCAAGAAAAGUUGAAAACAGGAAAAUAAGCAAAACUACUGAGUAUAAGAGCUAGGAAUUGUGUGAAUCAGGAUCACUUACUUAAUUUCAUUUUUUGAUGUGACUAAUAAACCAAAUCAAGCAUUGCAUCUUGAAUUCUGAAAAAAAAAAUGAAGCAAAAUAAGUAUAGAUAUAUAUAAUUACAGUGCAUUUUUUUAGCAUUUGACUUGGUUAAAAUUUAAUGACAGAUUUACACUACGAUUUUGGUGAAUAUUGUUUCAAAUUAUUAUACAUCUCUACAUAUUGACAAAAAUUUUUAUCUGAC